CGAGAAUCAUGGUUUUGUUCUUGGCCCGCUAAGUCAAAGAACUCGCGAUUAAACUUCGUGAUAUUCUCGA
rnacentral:tRNA from 1 species